CUGGGGCCUUAGAUGGGCCGGUGCCCCCUGACGGCCACCCCCGCGCAGCGCUGUCCUGGGCCGGGAGCCCCUGCGCCUUGUCCUGCAAGCGGGGCGCGUGGUCCGCCUGUGCCCCCGCCGAGCCGAGCCACGCUGGGCCCUGAACGUGAAGCGGGCGGUGCUGAGCCUCCUGCAGAGUCAUCCAGGUGUCCGCGACCCCCACACCGUGGAGGAGGUGGACAUCCUGGGCAGGUGUCCCACCACGUACCAGCAACUCGGAAGCAGGCUGCACAAAACCAAGGCCCUGGGGCAGUGCUCCCUGCGCCGGGUGCGCGCCUCCCUGCGCUCGCAGGCCCUGCCCGCUGCGGAGGAGCAGUCUGGCCUGGCCUCCCGUCUGACCUGCGUCCAGAGUUUGCAGGCCGGCGUGCUGCGGGAGGCCUCCUGCACACAGCUGGACACCGCGGGGCCCCUCUCCAGGGAGGCAAGUACUGCACCGAUGUCAACCUUUUCCUCGCUCUCUCUGCUGCAGGAGGUACCCCUGGACCCAGCUGUCACAGAACGUCUCACCUCAGAUUCAGACAGUGGAGACUUAACCCCGAGCAGCUUGUUGUACGAGUGGGAGGAGACCCCAUCCCAAGCCACGGUGGCCGCAGGGGCUGCAUCAGUGAGGAGGCUGUGCCUGGCUCAGGCCACAAGCUUUGAGGUAAGUGGCUUCUCCAGCCCCAGGCCAGGGUCUGCCUGAGGCCCUGGGACACCCUCCUCUUCCUACCA
ensembl:lncRNA